rnacentral:rRNA from 1 species
CAGCAGCCGCCGCGGGAAUACGAAGGGGGCUAGCGUUGCUCGGAAUGACUGGGCGUAAAGGGCGCGUAGGCGGUUUGUACAGUUGGAUGUGAAAUUCCUGGGCUUAACCUGGGGGCUGCAUUCAAUACGUGCAGGCUUGAAUGGGGAAGAGGGUCGUGGAAUUCCCAGUGUAGAGGUGAAAUUCGUAGAUACUGGGAAGAACACCGGUGGCGAAGGCGGCGACCUGGUCCUUGACUGACGCUGAGGCGCGAAAGCGUGGGGAGCAAACAGGAUUAGAUACCCGCGUAGUCCCUGUCUCUUAUAA